rnacentral:rRNA from 1 species
AUUGAACGCUGGCGGCAUGCUUUACACAUGCAAGUCGAACGGCAGCGCGGGCUUCGGCCUGGCGGCGAGUGGCGAACGGGUGAGUAAUGCAUCGGAACGUGCCCAGUAGUGGGGGAUAGCCCGGCGAAAGCCGGAUUAAUACCGCAUACGACCUGAGGGUGAAAGCGGGGGACCGAAAGGCCUCGCGCUAUUGGAGCGGCCGAUGUCGGUUCGCUAGUUGGGUGGGUAAAGGCUUACCCAGGCGACGAUCCGUAGCUGGUCUGGGAGGACGACCAGCCACACUGGGACUGAGACACGGCCCAGACUCCUACGGGAGGCAGCAGUGGGGAAUUUUGGACAAUGGGGGCAACCCUGAUCCAGCCAUGCCGCGUGCGGGAAGAAGGCCUUCGGGUUGUAAACCGCUUUUGUUCGGGAAGAAAUCCUCUGGGCUAAUACCCCGGGGGGAUGACGGUACCGGAAGAAUAAGCACCGGCUAACUACGUG